GUGAAUCAUCGAAUUUUUGAACGCAAAUUGCACUUUCUGGUAUUCCGGAAAGUAUGCCUGUUUGAGGGUCAGUUAAAUUAAAAUCGGUGUUGUUGCUACCCGUAGUGGUGUGUGAUGCAUCGGAAUUGAGGCGUUGUGGACCUUUGGUGUAAGUGACGUAAAAGUAUGUUCGAGUUUUGAACGUAUUUAAAUUAUUACUUACGUUCGUAAUAUCAAAUAUUAGGUGCGGUCAUCACAUGAUGUCGCGUCAAUAAUUGUUCAUUAUUUUACCUAAAAUCAGGGAAGAAUACCCGCUGAACUU
rnacentral:misc_RNA from 1 species